rnacentral:sRNA from 1 species
AAUGAAUUAAGAGGCAACUCUUAACUGACCAUCUAGCGAAAAAUCGAGAGAUUCAAGACUAGAGGGCAGAAAACUCUGCGGAGUAGCGCUAUAAUCGUGGAGUGAAAGGCAUGGCGGUAGCGCAUACAACGACGUGCCAA